GUUCUUUCCCAACCACUCCACACUCCUCUGCACAGGCUUUAAAUCAUCCCCGCACACCCUGCUCGUGUACCUGCCAACAUCGUCGCUGUCUGAACGAAGCCGGCAGCUGUUUAUUUACAAUUAGAUCUGCCAGCUGGAAAGCAAACAUUCUACGUUACCAAAUCAAUCAAUGUUGCCGGGAGAGGAGGGAAACAAACAGUGAAUGUCAGUUGUUGGUUCCCACUGCGCACUGAGGAUGUGUGGCUCUCCACAAUUCACACAUUGAGACUCAGGCUUCAAGGUGGUGGUACAAAGAAGAGCCUGGAAGAUUUGACUCUGAGGACGGUGCUCUCCUGGAGAGGAGAAAACUGCCAUGUGGAAGAGAAGAUCGGUCUUUCUACAGAUGAGGAAGAGCAACCAGGUUCCCUCUUCUCUGUCAAAUGGAUUUAUGUCAACAUUAGAGCUUCUUUUUUUUUGUGAGUCUCAAUACGUUUAACAGAGAUUUUAAGUAGUAAAUCUCAGAAGAGGUUCUGGGAAUAGCAGGCAUUGUGGGUUGUCUUUUCUAAUCUCGGCUUCCAGUCCUGUCUGCCUUUCCACAAACUACAGGUGUGGGGCACACGUGUACACCACUGUAUAGUGUGCACGCACAUCUCCAUCUGAUCAGGAAGCAAAGUAGGCCUUUCUCAGCCAAAACCAUUCUUUCUCACACCACUACACGCUAAUAGCAUUUUAUUUAUUUGUUUGUUUGAUCAAAUUCUGGCCUCAAAUGACUCACUGC
rnacentral:lncRNA from 1 species